rnacentral:rRNA from 1 species
GUGAGGAAUAUUGCCCAAUGGACGCAAGUCUGAGGCAGCAACGCCGCGUGGGUGAUGAAGGCCUUCGGGUUGUAAAACCCUUUUCCGGGGGACGAGUAAGGACGGUACCCCAGGAAUAAGUCACGGCUAACUACGUGCCAGCAGCCGCGGUAAUACGUAGGUGGCAAGCGUUAUCCGGAUUUACUGGGCGUAAAGCGCGUGCAGGCGGUUCUGUAAGUCGGACGUGAAAGCUCCUGGCUUAACUGGGAGAGGUCGUUCGAUACUGCGGGGCUUGAGGUCGGGAGAGGGGCGUGGAAUUCCCGGUGUAGUGGUGGAAUGCGUAGAUAUCGGGAGGAACACCAGUGGCGAAAGCGACGCCCUAGCCCGCACCUGACGCUUAGACGCGAAAGCGUGGGGAGCGAACGGGAUUAGAUACCCCGGUAGUCC